rnacentral:lncRNA from 1 species
UUUCUCGUCUUCUUUGUCUACGUGCCUGCUCAAUUUUUGGGUCUACAGGUAGCAAAUCAAUGAUUCGACCUAUACUCAUGAAGACCUUAAUAGAAAAUCACAAAAAAAUAAAAAGAAUAAAGAAAAUAAAAAAAUUAAUAAGUAAAGUUAGAACUUAAAUAAAAAUAAAAUAAAAUCCAAAUUUCAAAUAAUAAUUUCAUGAAAAUGAUUAAGGAAAAAGUCCCCCGCAACGA